rnacentral:rRNA from 1 species
GUGAGGAAUAUUGGUCAAUGGGCGGGAGCCUGAACCAGCCAAGUCGCGUGAGGGAAGACUGCCCUAUGGGUUGUAAACCUCUUUUGUCGGGGAGCAAAGCUGCCACGUGUGGCGGUUUGAGAGUACCCGAAGAAAAAGCAUCGGCUAACUCCGUGCCAGCAGCCGCGGUAAUACGGAGGAUGCGAGCGUUAUCCGGAUUUAUUGGGUUUAAAGGGUGCGCAGGCGGGACGCCAAGUCAGCGGUCAAAUUUCGGGGCUCAACCCCGACCUGCCGUUGAAACUGGCGUCCUCGAGUGGGCGAGAAGUAUGCGGAAUGCGUGGUGUAGCGGUGAAAUGCAUAGAUAUCACGCAGAACUCCGAUUGCGAAGGCAGCAUACCGGCGCUCAACUGACGCUGAAGCACGAAGGCGUGGGUAUCGAACAGG